rnacentral:lncRNA from 1 species
GGAUGAAGUACAUAGAUGGAGAAACUUACCUAUUGUAGUUUUAGAAUUUGAAUUCUGGACUUGACUCCCUUGAAUUCUAAUCUCAGCUCUUUCUAUACUGGCUAUGUCUAAGGGACCUUGGACAAGUUACUUAAUCUCUUUAUGCCUUCUCUAUAUUCACUAAUAUACCAUAUGAAAGGUGCUUAGAAGAGUAUCUAAUACAUAGAUGGAGCUCAAUGAGCAAUAGCUCUUAUUACUACCAAAUGUCAAGAAAACUAGUUCAGAGAAAACAUAUGAUACUUGUUAAAUAUUAAUGUCAGUGUUGGACAAAGCUUUUGGCAUUAAAGCAUGCCUUUUUAAAAUGUCAGGGUCAGAUUUACAAAUAAUAUUUUCAGGUUGUAUUUUAUAAAAGGCCAAGAAUUAUUCAUCUCAGUGACAAGUGAAAAUCAUUCCCACACAAAGAAGAACAUAAGUGGUAAGAAGACAAAUGCAUGUCAAUUGACUAUUUAAAAAAAAAUCAUAUAUUCCUCAUUCAAGGUUCCUCUUGAGAGUUUAAAAAGUUUGUAAAAACUCACCACUCAUAGUGGUGACAAUCCUGAAGAGAGAAGAAAAUCAUUCCCCAGGGCAUGGAAGGAAAAAGUAUUCUGAAGAGAUAAGCAGAUAUCAUGAAAUCAUAUAAGGUAGGAAAAACGUAUUCAUUCAUUCACUGUGGAGAGAUGGUUAUGCCCUCCUGCGCCUAGGGGCGCUUACCACUGAGCAACAUCCCUAGCCCUUUUUAAUUUUUUUAUUUUGAGACAGGGUCUCACUGAGUUGCUUAGGGCCUCACUAAGUUGCUGAGGCAGGCUUUGAACUCACAAUCUUCCUGCUUCAGCCUUCCAAGCUCCUGGGAUUACAGGCAUGUGCCACCAAGCCAAGCAAGUUGCACCAUUUUUUUAAAGCAUUGGUUUGCCACAAGUUAGUCUACUCUGAGUCCACGUGGCAAGUUGCCUGCCCCUCAAUUUCAAUGCAGUUCAGUUUCUCCUGUCUAUGUUGGUGAUGCAAGACCCACUUCAAGCUGACACUUCAACUGACACUCUGAAACUGCCAACAGUCCAGACCUUCCGCCUGACAACUCUGUAGAACUGGUUCAUAUUCAUAUCUGCUCUCUGCCUGUGAUCUUGGCACAGUAAUCUGUAACCCUACAGUUGGACUUAACUCUUUCUUAGUCUGUGAUAUAUAUUUCAUUAUGUGAAGUAUUGUGUAUGACUUGAGUGUUAUAGAUAUUAAUAAUUAAAACUGGAACAAAAUAACUUAUGAUUGCCUGCCUUUGACUUUCAGGUGACCCAUGAGUAUUCAGUGAACUGCAAUUUCAGAAAGCAGUGUGACUUGUGAAUUUAUUGUUAGUUCAUAUAUUCUGGAAUUUUGUAAAGACACAAAUGUG